GCUCGAGGAGGUGUUCUAAGCCCACGCCCCUUUUCCCCUCCCCUGCUUCUCCGCUGCCGCCUCUUUCUCCGCCAAAUCCACAUCACCGCCGUGCCCGUUGCCGGGACAAGGACAGGGGUGGAGGCAAGGGAGAGAGGGGGGUUGACUCAGCAGCGCCGCCUAGCAGUGUAUGGGGGGUCUAGAUGAGGGGAGUGCGGCACGGUAAACUCCUCCCCCGCUACAGAGCAGUCCACGAUGCGGUCACUGUCGUCCUCACCUUCUAGCCGUCUGUGAUGUUGUCGCCAUCGCCCAAGCCCCCUCGCCACACAGUACACAUAGAUGGGAAAGGCGGUAGGAUGCAGCAGCUCGCCUAUUCCUUGCUCGCCGCCGAUUCCAAGUGAGAAGACAAAUGUGCACACCUUUAGCUCGACUUGUGGCGGCGGCGAAUAUUACUAGAGCAGAGGCACCUUUCGUUUUUCGUCCUCUUCGUUGGUGGGAAGGCGAAGCGGAUUGGAGGAGGAAGCCAUGUGAACUUGGUGAGAGAGGAGAUGGGGUAGGGCGGCAAGCUGUGUGGGACGACUCGGCACUGGUGGACGCCUUGGAUCACACCGUCGCCACCUAAAAGAUAUGCGCCCUCGCCCCCCUUUGAUUCUCUUGCCCUUUCCGCCUUGCUGGGAGAAGAUGUAUGUGUGUUCUGUUUUAGACAAUGGCGUUCAUGUAAGCGCGUUCACGUCAUGUUCCGUUCUGCAAUGCACAAGUACUAUGUUCUCUUUUAUUUCUGGAAUCGUGUCUAUUCGCACAAGUACUAUGCACACAGUAGCUUUGAAUCUGUUAGUGAAGUUAUUGUAUGGUAACGGCGUACUUUUAUGGGUAGAUUAAUAGAAUGGAUCUGUAUGUGCUAUAGAUAGCUAAUCCUUUGCAACAAUUUGAUAAGAUGCUGAAA